rnacentral:rRNA from 1 species
UUACCUACGGGACGCAGCAGUGGGGAAUAUUGCACAAUGGGGGAAACCCUGAUGCAGCAACGCCGCGUGAAGGAAGAAGGGUUUCGGCUCGUAAACUUCUAUCGAUAGGGACGAAAGAGAUGACGGUACCUAAAUAAGAAGCCCCGGCUAACUACGUGCCAGCAGCCGCGGUAAUACGUAGGGGGCAAGCGUUAUCCGGAAUUACUGGGUGUAAAGGGAGCGUAGACGGCGAGGGAAGCCUGAAGUGGAAGCCCGCGGCCCAACCGCGGAACUGCUUUGGGAACUGUUUUGCUGGAGUAUGGGAG